UACGGAGGAUGCAAGCGUUAUCCGGAAUUAUUGGGCGUAAAGCGCACGUAGGCGGCUUUGUAAGUUAGAGGUGAAAGCCCGGGGCUCAACUCCGGAACUGCCUUUAAGACUGCAUCGCUUGAAUCCAGGAGAGGUGAGUGGAAUUCCGAGUGUAGAGGUGAAAUUCGUAGAUAUUCGGAAGAACACCAGUGGCGAAGGCGGCUCACUGGACUGGUAUUGACGCUGAGGUGCGAAAGCGUGGGGAGCAAACAGG
rnacentral:rRNA from 1 species